CGAAGGUCCCGGGGAGGAAAUGCCCUGGGGAUGACGGUACCACCAGAGGAAGCACCGGCUAACUUCGUGCCAGCAGCCGCGGUAAUACGAAGGGUGCGAGCGUUGUUCGGAAUUAUUGGGCGUAAAGCGCACGUAGGCGGUUGGAUAAGUCUGUCUGUGAAAGCCCGGGGCUCAACCCCGUGGAUUGCAGGGGAUACUGUCCGACUGGAGACAAGCAGAGGUUGGUAGAAUUCCGGGUGUAGCGGUGGAAUGCGUAGAGAUCCGGAGGAAUACCAGAGGCGAAGGCGGCCAACUGGGCUUGUUCUGACGCUGAGGUGCGAAAGCGUGGGGAGCGAACAGGAUUAGAUACCCUGGUAGUCCACGCUGUAAACGAUGGGCACUAGAUGCCGGUGGGAACGACCCCUUCGGUGUCGCAGCUAACGCACUAAGUGCCCCGCCUGGGGAGUACGGCCGCAAGGCUGAAACUCAAAGGAAUUGACGGGGACCCGCACAAGCGGUGGAGCAUGUGGUUUAAUUCGACGCAACGCGAAGAACCUUACCUGGGCUAGAAUGCCUCUGACAACCCUGGAGACAGGGCCUUCUGGGUAAAACCAGACAGAGUGCAAGGUGCUGCAUGGCUG
rnacentral:rRNA from 1 species